rnacentral:rRNA from 1 species
GACGAACGCUGGCGGCAUGCCUAACACAUGCAAGUCGAACGGUAAGGCUUCCUUCGGGAAGUACACGAGUGGCGAACGGGUGAGUAACACGUGGGUAACCUACCCUUGACUGGGGGAUAACCGAGGGAAACUUCGGCUAGUACCGCAUAACGUGCAUUGCCUCAAGGUGGUGUACCAAAGCUCCGGCGGUUAAGGAUGGGCCCGCGGCAGAUUAGCUUGUUGGUGAGGUAACGGCUUACCAAGGCGACAAUCUGUAGCUGGUCUGAGAGGACGAUCAGCCACACUGGAACUGAGACACGGUCCAGACUCCUACGGGAGGCAGCAGUGGGGUAUCUUGCGCAAUGGGCGAAAGCCUGACGCAGCAAUGCCGCGUGAGGGAAGACGGCCUUAGGGUUGUAAACCUCUUUCAGCAGGGACGAACACAGACGGUACCUGCAGAAGAAGCCCCGGCCAACUACGUGCCAGCCGCCGCGGUAA